ACCCAAUUCUAACAGCAUAAGAGAGGUAGUGACAAGAAAUAACAAUACAAGGUAAUUAAAUUGCUUUGUAAUUGGAAUGAUAGAAAUUUAAACACUUUUUAAAGUAUCAAUUGGAGGGCAAGUCUGGUGCCAGCAGCCGCGGUAAUUCCAGCUCCAAUAGCGUAUAUUAAAAUUGUUGCAGUUAAAAAGCUCGUAGUUGAAUUUCUGUUAAAAAUAACCGGUCUGCUUUUAUUAAAAGUGGUAUCUUGGUGUGUU
rnacentral:rRNA from 1 species